ensembl:lncRNA
GUAAGGCAAGAAGGGAGGUGAAAGGUCAAUUUCCCAGGAGGGCUUGCUUUUCGUCCCUGGGGAAUGCCUGUGGUACGGCGGCGUCUGUGCGUGGGUAGAGAUUUGGUGGUACCGUUUUAGUCUCGGGGGGCAAGGUAGAGUGGUUGUGUGCGAAUCAGUUCAGGAGUUCCUCAGAAAAGAGGACUUAGUCCUCCUAAGUCGUAAAAAGCAGAAAAAGCAUCUGUGCCCAGCCCGCUUCCAGCUCGUAGCGCAGUAUGCUGCACGCAGUGACUUAAUGACUGUGACUCGCUGUAGAGAAGCUGGUGAGAGGCUGUUUGCAGUUGGUAAAGGGGCGUGAAAGGGCCAAACAGUGACCUAUCUGAUGGCUAAGAAGUAGAGAAUAAGCUCUGAGACCUCCCUCUUCUGAAGUGGCAAGUCCUCCAGACCCACUCUCAGCUCCCCCAUCUCCACAAGGGAGACCUGGAGAUGCCCAGCUAUGCCAGUGACUGGCUUCCUGGGGAGCUGCAGAAAAAUCCAGAUUUUCCAAACCCUUGGAGAUGUGAUGGAACCUGGCUGAUGGACACAUGGCUGCCCUGCCAGCUCUCCUCUGAGGACAUUUGCAUCAUGCGGCAGCAGCUGGGCUCUUGAGGACAGCUUCACUGAGCCAUGGUCUGCUCAGCUGCCCCUGUGCUGCUCCUGGCCAUGACUCUCCCUCUGGUGGAGCCACCAGCUGCCCGAGCAUCCCAGCCUG